CAAUCAAAAGCCCAGUCCUACCUUAAGAACAGAGCUUCACAGUUUGUACCCAAAGGUCAUUGCCAAGGACCGAGAAUGGAUAAUCAGGACUUUUAGGCUAGGUGAAAAAAAAAUUGAUGGUUGGGAAUUUAAGCAGGAGUUAUCUUGUUUGUGUAUUUACAUUUUGAAGGAGUUGACAGAUGAAGACAAGGAUCAGCAUUAUUUCGAUGUGAUUCGAUCUAUAACAUUGCUCACACCAAUGACAUGCAUGUGCUUUGAGCAGGAGUUGAACUGUUGACCUUACCAUCACAGCAUUUCAUAUGGGUAACAUAUUACAGUCCUCUGCUUUACCAACUGAGCUAUCAAGGUGCUUGCUACAGACAACUGCAGAAAACAUAGUCGCUGAGAUGACACACUUGGCCCACUCAAAUAUUCAACCCAGAUGGUCAAUGAAAAGCCCAGCCCUACCUGCAGAAUCAAACUUUGCAGUUUGUACCCAACAGUCAUUGCUAGGGACUGUGAACUGAUAAUCAGGACUUUAAGGCUGGGCUUUUGAUUGACAUGGCCAAUAAAAGACUAGUCCUACCUUCAGAACAGAGCUUCACAGUAUGUAGCCAACAGUCAUUGCCAGGGACCCAUGACUGAUAAUCAGGACUUUUAGGCUGGGUGAAUAAAAAUUUGAUGGUUGGAAAAUUAAAGAGGGGGCUUUGAGCUGGAGUUGAACCGGCUACCUUAGGAUCACAGCAUUUCAUAUGAGGAACCUCUUACAGUUCUGCGCUCUACCAACUGAGCUAUCAAGGUGCUCUCUACACACAAACGCAGAAAACAUAGUGGUUGUGACGACAUGCUUUGCCAACAAAUAUUGGACCCACAUGGUCAAUCAAAAGCCUAGUCCAACCUUCAGAACAGAGCUUCACAGUUUGGACCCAACAGUCAUUGCCAAGGACCCAUGACUGAUAAUCAGAACUUUUAGGCUGGGUGAAUAAAAAUUUGAUGGUUGGAAAAUUAAAGAGGGGGCUUUGAGCUGGAGUUUAACCGGCUACCUUAGGAUCACAGCAUUUCAUAUGAGGAACCUCUUACAGUUCUGCGCUCUACCAACUGAGCUAUCAAGGUGCUCUCCACACACAAACGCAGAAAACAUAGUGGUUGUGACGACAUGCUUUGCCCAAACAACUAUUGGAACACUUUGGUCAAUCAAAAGCCUAGUCCUACCUUCAGAACAGAGCUUCACAGUUUGGACCCAACAGUCAUUGCCAGGGAUCGUGAACUGAUAAUCAGGACUUUUAGGCUGGGUGAAUAAAAAUUUUAUGGUUGGAAAAUUAAAGAGGGGGCUUUGAGCUGGAGUUUAACCGGCUAGCCUUAGGAUCACAGCAUUUCAUAUGAGGAACCUCUUACAGUCCUGUGCUCUACCAAGUGAGCUAUCAAGGUGGUCUCUACACACAAACGCAGAAAACAUAGUGGUUGUGACGACAUGCUUUGCCCAAACAACUAUUGGACCCACAUGGUCAAUCAAAAGCCUAGUCCUACCUUCAGAACAGAGCUUCACAGUUUGUACCCAACAGUCAUUGCCAAGGACCCAUGACUGAUAAUCAGGACUUUUAGGCUGGGUGAAUAAAAAAUUGAUGGUUGGAAAAUUAAAGAGGGGGGCUUUGAGCUGGAGUUGAACAGGCUACCUUAGGAUCACAGCAUUUCAUAUGAGGAACCUCUUACAGUCCUGCACUCAACCAACUGAGCUAUCAAGGUGCUCUAUACACACAAACGCAGAAAACAUAGUGGUUGUGACGACAUGCUUUGCCCAAACAACAAUUGGACCCACAUGGUCAAUCAAAAGCCUAGUCCUACCUUCAGAACAGAGCUUCACAGUUUUUACCCAACAGUCAUUGCCAGGGAUCGUGAACUGAUAAUCAGGACUUUUAGGCUGGGUGAAUAAAAAUUUUAUGGUUGGAAAAUUAAAGAGGGGGCUUUGAGCUGGAGUUGAACCGGCUACCUUAUGAUCAGAGCAUUUCAUAUGAGGAAUCUCUUAUAGUCCUGCGCUCUAUCAACUGAGCAAUCAAGGUGCUCUCUACACACAAACGCAGAAAUCAUAGUGGUUGUGACGACAUGCUUUGCCCAAACAACUAUUGGACCCACAUGGUCAAUCAAAAGCCUAGUCCUACCUUCAGAACAGAGCUUCACAGUUUGUACACAACAGUCAUUGCCAAGGACCCAUGACUGAUAAUCAGGACUUUUAGGCUGGGUGAAUAAAAAAUUGAUGGUUGGAAAAUUAAAGAAAGGACUUUGAGCUGGAGUUGAACCGGCUACCUUAGGAUCACAGCAUUUAAUGUGAGGAAUCUCUUACAGUUCUGCGCUCUACCAACUGAGCUAUCAAGGUGCUCUCUAUACACAAACGCAGAAAACAUAGUGGUUGUGACAACAUGCUUUGCCCAAACAACUAUUGGACCCACAUGGUCAAUCAAAAGCCUAGUCCUACCUUCAGAACAGAGCUUCACAGUUUGUACACAACAGUCAUUGCCAAGGACCCAUGACUGAUAAUCAGGACUUUUAGGCUGGGUGAAUAAAAAAUUGAUGGUUGGAAAAUUAAAGAGGGGGCUUCCGGCUGGAGUUGAAUUGGCUACCUUAGGAUCACAGCAUUUCAUAUGAGGAACUUCUUACAGUCCUGCACUGUACUAACUGAGCUAUCAAGGUGCUCUCUACUCACAAACGAAGAAAACAUAGUGGUUGUGACGACAUGAUUUGCCAACAAAUAUUGGACCCACAUGGUCAAUCAAAAGCCUAGUCCUACCUUCAGAACAGAGCUUCACAGUUUGUACCCAACAGUCAUUGCCAGGGAUCGUGAACUGAUAAUCAGGACUUUUAGGCUGGGUGAAUAAAAAAUUGAUGGUUGGAAAAUUAAAGAGGGGGCUUUGAGCUGGAGUUGAACCGGCUACCUUAGGAUCACAGCAUUUCAUAUGAGGAACCUCUUACAGUCCUGCGCUCUACUAACUGAGCUAUCAAAGUGCUCUCUACACCGAAAUGCAGAAAACAUAGUGGUUGUGACGACAUGCUUUGCCCAAACAACUAUUGGAACACUUUGGUCAAUCAAAAGCCUAGUCCUACCUUCAGAACAGAGCUUCACAGUUUGUAACCAACAGUCAUUGCCAGGGAUCGUGAACUGUUAAUCAGGACUUUUAGGCUGAGUGAAUGAAAAAUUGAUGGUUGGAAAAUUAAAGAGCGGGCUUUGAGCAUGAGUUGAACUGGCUACCUUAGGAUGACAUCAUUUCAUAUGAUGAACCUUUUACAGUCCUGCGCUCUACCAACUGAGCUAUCAUUGUGCUCUCUACACACAAACGCAGAAAACAUAGUGGUUGUGACGACAUGCUUUGCCCAAACAACUAUUGGACCCACAUGGUCAAUCAAAAGCCUAGUCCUACCUUCAGAACAGAGCUUCACAGUUUGUACACAACAGUCAUUGCCAAGGACCCAUGACUGAUAAUCAGGACUUUUAGGCUGGGUGAAUAAAAAUUUUAUGGUUGGAAAAUUAAAGAGGGGGCAUUGAGCUCGAGUUGAACCGGCUACCUUAGGAUCAGAGCAUUUCAUAUGAGGAACCUCUUACAGUCCUGCGCUCUACCAACUGAGCUAUCAAUGUGCUCUCUACACACAAACGCAGAAAACAUAGUGGUUGUGAUGACAUGCUUUGCCCAAACAACUAUUGGACCCACAUGGUCAAUCAAAAGCCUAGUCCUUCCUUCAGAACAGAGCUUCACAGUUUGUACCCAACAGUCAUUGCCAGGGAUCGUGAACUGAUAAUCAGGACUUUUAGGCUGGGUGAAUAAAAAUUUUAUGGUUGGAAAAUUAAAGAGGGGGCUUUGAGCUGGAGUUGAACCGGCUACCUUAGGAUCCCAGUAUUUCAUAUGAGGAACCUCUUACAGUCCUGCGCUCUACCAACUGAGCUAUCAAGGUGCUCUCUACACACAAAUGCAGAAAACAUAGUGGUUGUGACGACAUGCUUUGCCCAAACAACUAUUGGACCCACAUGGUCAAUCAAAAGCCUAGUCCUUCCUUCAGAACAGAGCUUCACAGUUUGUACCCAACAGUCAUUGCCAGGGACCCAUGACUGAUAAUCAGGACUUUUAGGCUGGGUGAAUAAAAAUUUUAUGCUUGGAAAAUUAAAGAGGGGGCUUUGAGCUGGAGUUGAACCAGCUACCUUAGGAUCACAGCAUUUCAUAUGAGGAACCUCUUACAGUCCUGCGCUCUACCAACUGAGCUAUCAAGGUACUCUCUAAACAAAAAAGCAGAAAACAUAGUGGUUGUGACGACAUGCUUUGCCCAAACAACUAUUGGACCCACAUGGUCAAUCAAAAGCCUAGUCCUACCUUCAGAAAAGAGCUUCACAGUUUGUACCCAACAGUCAUUGCCAGGGAUCGUGAACUGAUAAUCAGGACUUUUAGGCUGGGUAAAUAAAAAUUUGAUGGUUGGAAAAUUAAAGAGUGGGCUUGGAGCUGGAGUUGAACCAGCUACCUAAGGAUCACAGCGUUUCAUAUGAGUUACCUCUUACAGUCCUGUGCUCUACCAACUGAGCUAUGAAGGUGCUUAUAGAUACAAACGCAGAAAACAUAGUGGCUUCGGCGACACUCUUUGCCAACAAUACAAUUGGACCCACAUGGUCAAUGAAAAAGGUUGAACAGUGCAUACAGCAAUGAAAUCUAGUGUUUGGAGGUGGAGUUGAACCAGCGACCUUUGGACCACAGCGUUUCAGGAACUUCUUAAAGUCAUGGGCUCUACCAACUGAGCUAUGAAGUUGCUUAUAGACUCACGCAGAAAACAUAGUGGCUUCGGCGACACACUUUGCCAACAUAACUAUUGAACCAACAUGGUCAAUGAAAAAGGUUGAACAGUGCAUACACCAACGAAAUCUGGUGUUUGGAGCUGGAGCUGAACCA